rnacentral:lncRNA from 1 species
GGAAGAAUCAUGGACAGGAGGGCGUGUGCCCAGCCAAGUGAGAUUUCCUCAGCCUUCAUCAGAACCGGGAUAGCAGUGUGCUUUAAAGCAUGGACUCCAGAGUCAGGCAGGGCGCAUCUGACUGCCAGUGAGAACUCCCUACCCUGGGCUGGGGGCAGGGGGCUUCAGCCAUCAGCAAAGACACUCGCUAACUCGGCCACCUGUGCCGCCAUCCUCACAUGGGGCGGAAGCAGCCAGGGGAGAAGAAUGAGGAACGUGCAGGAGGAGCUGGCCCUGGGAUCUGUGGAGAGGAGCCAGACACUUC